CUGCCCAAUGAAUUUUUUAAAUGGCUGCAGAAUUAUAACUGUACAAAGGUAGCAUAAUAAUUUGUUUUUUAAUUAAAAACUAGAAUAAAUGAUUAAAUAAAAUAUAAACUAUUUUAAUUAAAUAUAUUUAAAUUAUUGUUUAAGUAAAAAAACUUAAAUAAAAUUAAAAGACGACAAGACCCUAUAGAAUUUUAUUUAUUUAUUUUAUUAUUAACUAAUUAAUUUAAUUAAUUAAAUUUAAAAUAAAUUUAAUUGGGGUAAUUAUAAAAUUUUUUAAAUUUUUAUAAAAAUUAACAAUAAUUAUUGAAUUAAAAAAUAUAUCUUAAAUACAAAUUAUUAAAAUUAAUUACCUUAGGGAUAACAGCAUAAUUUUUUUUAAAAGAUCAUAUUAAUAAAAAAGGUUAUGACCUCGAUGUUGAAUUAAGAUAAAAUUUAAAUGAAAAAAUUUAAAAAUUUAAGUCUGUUCGACU
rnacentral:rRNA from 1 species